rnacentral:rRNA from 1 species
CCUACGGGCGGCAGCAGUGAGGAAUAUUGGUCAAUGGACGAGAGUCUGAACCAGCCAAGUAGCGUGAAGGAUGACUGCCCUAUGGGUCGUCAACUUCUUUUAUAUGGGCAUAAAAUGUUCCACGUGUGGGAUUUUGAAUGUACCAUAUGAAUAAGGAUCGGCUAACUCCGUGCCAGCAGCCGCGGUAAUACGGAGGAUCCGAGCGUUAUACGGAUUUAUUGGGUUUAAAGGGGGCGGAGGGGGGUUGUUAAGUCAGUUGUGAAAGGUUGGGGCUCAACCCGAGGAUUGCAGUUGAAACUGGAAGUCUUGAGUACAGGAGAGGUAGGCGGAAUUCGUGGUGUAGCGGUGAAAUGCAUAGAUAUCACGAAGAACUCCGAUUGCGAAGGCAGUUCGCUGGACUGAAACUGACGCUGAGGCACGAAAGUGUGGGUAUCAAACAGGAUUAGAUACCCGUGUAGUC